rnacentral:rRNA from 1 species
UUUUCCAGUACUCGGGAGUAACUUCCGUAAACGGGAAUAGCGUAAUACCGGAUACAUCGUUUCUACCGUCGAUGGAGGAGAUGAGGAAAGAACGGCGCAAGCUGUCACUGAGAGGAUGGGGCCUGCGGCGCAUUAGCUAGUUCGGUGGGGUAACGGCUCACCAAGGCGACGAUGCGUAGCCGACCUGAGAGGGUGAACGGCCACACUGGGACUGAGACACGGCCCAGACUCCUACGGGAGGCAGCAGUAGGGAAUCUUCCACAAUGGGCGAAAGCCUGAUGGAGCAAUGCCGCGUGAGUGAUGAAGGUUUUCGGAUCGUAAAGCUCUGUUGCCAGGGAAGAACGUCCGGGUGAGUAACUGCACCCGGAGUGACGGUACCUGAGAAGAAAGCCCCGACUAACUACGUG